GGUCUGUUCGUCUAGGGGUUAGGACGCAAGAUUUUCAUUCUUGUAACACGAGUUCGAUUCUCGUACAGACUA
rnacentral:tRNA from 1 species